AACAUGCAGUCAAGGGUACAUUGGUGCUGCACAGAUGACGACGGCGAACGGGCGCGUAACGCGUAUCAAUUUACCUUAUACAGGGAGAUAGCCUUUAAAAUGAAGAUUAAUAUCCCAUAGUUUAAUGAUCUGGCAUCAUAUUAUUAAUAAAGAUUUAUCGGUAUAAGAUGAGUAUGCGUCCUAUUAGCUAGAUGGUGAGGUAAAAGCUCACCAUGGCAACGAUAGGUAGGGGCCCUGAGAGGGGGAUCCCCCACACUGGUACUGAGACACGGACCAGACUCCUACGGGAGGCAGCAGUGAGGAAUAUUGGACAAUGGAGGCAACUCUGAUCCAGCCAUGCCGCGUGCAGGAAGACGGUCCUAUGGAUUGUAAACUGCCUUUAUAGAGGAAGAAACCUUUCCACGUGUGGAAAGCUGACGGUACUCUACGAAUAAGCACCGGCUAACUCCGUGCCAGCAGCCGCGGUAAUACGGAGGGUGCAAGCGUUAUCCGGAAUCAUUGGGUUUAAAGGGUCCGUAGGCGGGCAAUUAAGUCAGAGGUGAAAUCCCACAGCUCAACUGUGGAACUGCUUUGAUACUGAUUGUCUUGAA
rnacentral:rRNA from 1 species